rnacentral:sRNA from 1 species
UCGAUGCUAGCGUGGCCUUGUAGGCCUCAA